UACGUAGGGGGCUAGCGUUGUCCGGAUUUAUUGGGCGUAAAGAGCGUGCAGGCGGUCAGGUAGGUCGGUUGUGAAAACUGGAGGCUCAACCUUCAGAGGUCGACCGAAACCCCCUGGCUAGAGUCCGGGAGAGGAGAGUGGAAUUCCUGGUGUAGCGGUGAAAUGCGCAGAUAUCAGGAAGAACACCCGUGGCGAAAGCGGCUCUCUGGAACGGUACUGACGCUGAGACGCGAAAGCGUGGGGAGCGAACAGG
rnacentral:rRNA from 1 species